rnacentral:lncRNA from 1 species
UCAUAUUCAACGGUGUGCGAUCAUUGAUUUGAACGCCCUAAGAUCGAAAACAAACACUAUAGUACCGGAGCUCGGUACUAUAGAUAGUAUAGUAGUUUAUAUAUAUAUAUAUAUAUAUAGUUGAGCUAGAAUACUAUCGGUAGCAAACGGACUCCGUUGCCACCCAUUUAUUUUCGAUGAUGGAGCCUCCAAAUCGACGAUCGGCACCGUUGAACAUAAUCUAUACCACUUGAAGUAUCUAGAAAUCAAAUUUCAUGCUUUUCCGAUAUUGUUCUCUUAUCCAUCGAAUGGACACAAAAAUAAACGGCUGAAAAUGAAUAUUCUUAAAAAAAUGAUGAUAGGAGUCUUGUAAUCAAGAUCAAGAGUAUAGAUCUUGUUUUAAAUAGUUUAAAGAAUUUUCUAACAAAAAUUCAAUUGAUUUGAAUAUCUUUACGCCGUUAAACGAGAAAACGCCUCAUAUCGACCAUUAAAAUUACAAAUUUUGAAUCCCUUUGAUCAUUAGGCAAAUGAUGUCGAAAAGAUUUGAAAUUUGAUUUCUAAACACUUAAAGUGGUAUAAAUCAUGUUCAACGGUGCCAAUCGUCGAUUUGGAGGCUCCAUCAUCGAAAACAAAUGGAUGACAAAAAAAUCGGUUUGCUAUCGAUAGUAUUUUAGCUCAACUCUCUCUCUCUAUAUAUAUAUAUAUAUAUAUAUAUAUAGAAUUAGGUUGGAAUGCUAUUAAUAGUAAAACGCUCUUUUUACUAUCAAGUUUUUAACCCUUGGAUGAAAAAUUGGAGGGUCAGGAUGAUAUUAGUCAGUUAGAAUUGAGUGGUCCCUCUAGGGUUGAGUGGUCCCAGCUGGGUUAUAGUAUUUAAUCCAAUGGUUAGAAAUAAUGAAAAUAGUUGAUCCAAAGGCUAAAAAACUAGUAGCAAUAAUGGGAUUUUGCUACUAAAUAGUAGCUCAGUGCAACUCUCUCUCUCUCCNAUACGUAAGAAAAAAUACGUACUAAAUACGGUGAACCAUUUACCGUGUUCACCGCACGGUGAAUAGUUCACCGUGUUCAACUUAACACAUGGGCCCAGCCCUGCCCGCGUGGCGCUGACGUGGCGCCUGCGUGGCAGGCCCAGAAUUAUUUUUGCAAAUUAAAUUUUGACAGAACUAUUUUUAAAAUAAAAAUUUGUUAGGGAUCUAAAUGCAAAAAAAAGCCUAUUAUAUA